rnacentral:rRNA from 1 species
AUGUCUACUUCCCGAUCUGCAGAAGAAACCUCCCAGGUGGCAAUUGCUUUUUUGGACAGUGAUGAUGAUGAGGGCAAGGCCCCAUUAUCCUUCGAGAGGGCAAAUACGACUGUCAGUACUGUGAAAGACAUACCUUCCAUUGUGAAUCCUGAUAUUUUCGGCAACAUUGGUGACGAUGCCCCAUUAUCCUUUAGGAGGGCUGGUGAAGAACAUGGGCCCCAGUUAUCCUUCAAGAUGGCAAGUACCUCUGUACUGAAGAACAAACGCUCAUUUGUGAAUCCUGAUAUUUUCGGCAACAUUGGUGACAAUGCCCCAUUAUCCUUUAGGAGGGAUGGUGAAGAACAUGGGCCCGGGUUAUCCUUCAAGAGGGCAAUUACCUCUGUCAAGAACAGGCACUCAUUUAUGAAUCCUGAUAUUUGUGCCCCAUUAUCCUUCAGGAGUGCUGGUGAAGAACAUGGGCCCUUGUUAUCCUUCGAGAGGGCCCCAUUAUCGUUCAGGAGGGCAACUACCUCUGUGAAGAACACGCCCUCGGUUACAAAUCCUGUUAUUGACAAUGAUGAUGACGAGGCCCCAUUACUUUCCUUCGAGCAAAAAAGUGAAGAUCAUGCCAAAUCAGGGAGUGGAAAUGGUGGAUCACAAGGUGGAAGACCCAAGAAGAAAUAUAAGGGCAUCACAUCGAUACUAAGCACUGAAGAAACCAUGGAACAGAAAGCAUCAAAUCAAGGACAACAAUACUCAAUCUCAAGGUGCAUGGAGGUGUUGCAUGGCAUGGAUGAUGUAUCCGACGAGAUCAAGAUGUGCAUCAGGGCAAUCCUUCCAUUAUUAUUUGAUAUGACUGUUGAAGUGUUGAUGCUGCUCAUAACUGAUAGAGUGCAGGAGCAUGCUGUCAAUCUCAAGUGCUUUUUGGCUCAUGAGUUCAAGUCUUUGUGCGAAUGUGGGACUGAUUAG